rnacentral:rRNA from 1 species
GAUGAACGCUGGCGGCGUGCCUAAUACAUGCAAGUCGAGCGAACGGACGAGAAGCUUGCUUCUCUGAUGUUAGCGGCGGACGGGUGAGUAACACGUGGAUAACCUACCUAUAAGACUGGGAUAACUUCGGGAAACCGGAGCUAAUACCGGAUAAUAUUUUGAACCGCAUGGUUCAAAAGUGAAAGACGGUCUUGCUGUCACUUAUAGAUGGAUCCGCGCUGCAUUAGCUAGUUGGUAAGGUAACGGCUUACCAAGGCAACGAUGCAUAGCCGACCUGAGAGGGUGAUCGGCCACACUGGAACUGAGACACGGUCCAGACUCCUACGGGAGGCAGCAGUAGGGAAUCUUCCGCAAUGGGCGAAAGCCUGACGGAGCAACGCCGCGUGAGUGAUGAAGGUCUUCGGAUCGUAAAACUCUGUUAUUAGGGAAGAACAUAUGUGUAAGUAACUGUGCACAUCUUGACGGUACCUAAUCAGAAAGCCACGGCUAACUACGUGCCAGCAGCCGCGGUAAUACGUAGGUGGCAAGCGUUAUCCGGAAUUAUUGGGCGUAAAGCGCGCGUAGGCGGUUUUUUAAGUCUGAUGUGAAAGCCCACGGCUCAACCGUGGAGGGUCAUUGGAAACUGGAAAACUUGAGUGCAGAAGAGGAAAGUGGAAUUCCAUGUGUAGCGGUGAAAUGCGCAGAGAUAUGGAGGAACACCAGUGGCGAAGGCGACUUUCUGGUCUGUAACUGACGCUGAUGUGCGAAAGCGUGGGGAUCAAACAGGAUUAGAUACCCUGGUAGUCCACGCCGUAAACGAUGAGUGCUAAGUGUUAGGGGGUUUCCGCCCCUUAGUGCUGCAGCUAACGCAUUAAGCACUCCGCCUGGGGAGUACGACCGCAAGGUCGAAACUCAAAGGAAUUGACGGGGACCCGCACAAGCGGUGGAGCAUGUGGUUUAAUUCGAAGCAACGCGAAGAACCUUACCAAAUCUUGACAUCCUUUGACAACUCUAGAGAUAGAGCCUUCCCCUUCGGGGGACAAAGUGACAGGUGGUGCAUGGUUGUCGUCAGCUCGUGUCGUGAGAUGUUGGGUUAAGUCCCGCAACGAGCGCAACCCUUAAGCUUAGUUGCCAUCAUUAAGUUGGGCACUCUAAGUUGACUGCCGGUGACAAACCGGAGGAAGGUGGGGAUGACGUCAAAUCAUCAUGCCCCUUAUGAUUUGGGCUACACACGUGCUACAAUGGACAAUACAAAGGGCAGCGAAACCGCGAGGUCAAGCAAAUCCCAUAAAGUUGUUCUCAGUCCGGAUUGUAGUCUGCAACUCGACUACAUGAAGCUGGAAUCGCUAGUAAUCGUAGAUCAGCAUGCUACGGUGAAUACGUUCCCGGGUCU